CCCUAUGGGGUGCAGCAGGCGCGAAACCUUUACAAUGCACGCAAGUGUGAUAAGGGGAUCCCAAGUGCUUAUGCUUAGCAUAGGCUUUUGCCAAGAGUAAAUAUCUUGGCGAAUAAGUGAUGGGUAAGACUGGUGCCAGCAGCCGCGGUAACACCAGCGUCACGAGUGGCAACCGUAUUUAUUGGGCCUAAAGCGUCCGUAGCCGGUUUGAUAAGUCUUUUGUGAAAUCGUUGAGCUUAACUUAACGCUGUGCAAGAGAUACUGUCAGACUUGGAAUUGGGAAGAGUCAGAGGUAUUCUGGGGGGAGCGGUAAAAUGCUAUAAUCCCUGGAGGACCACCAGUGGCGAAAGCGUCUGACUAGAACAACUUCGACGGUGAGGGACGAAAGCCAGGGGAGCAAAACGGAUUAGAUACCCGAGUAGUCCUGGCCAUAAACGCUGCGAGCAAGGUGUCACGUAUCCUUCGUGGAUGCGUGGUGUCGAAGAGAAGUCGUUAAGCUCGCCGCCUGGGAAGUAUGGUCGCAAGGCUGAAACUUAAAGGAAUUGGCGGGGGAGCACCACAAGGGGUGCGGCGUGCGGUUUAAUCUAAUUCAACACAGAGAAUCUCACCAGAAGCGACGGUAGAAUGAAGGUCAAGUUGAAGGCUUUACUAGACAAGCCGAGAAGAAGUGCAUGGCCA
rnacentral:rRNA from 1 species